UAUAGUUUUUUUGUGUAUGUGUAUUCUGUUUAAAAUUUAAUACAAGAAUAAUGGAAAUUAAUAUUACUCCUACAACCGACAGUAAAACCAGAAAAAGGAUACGAAAUACAGCUGAAUGGAAAAGAAACCAGCAGAAAAAAAUACGGUUAGUGUUAGUAUUACCUAUAAGAAUACAAAAAAUAGUCCUAAAAAAAUAUGACGCAAGUUAAACCUUUUUAUUUUUAUUCGUCGACGUGGACAUGGAAAUUAUUAUAAUUUUUAUGAUUAUAAUUCUGAUUAAUUUUUAAUAUCCAUACUACUUAUCAACUUUAAAAUUAAAAAUAUAAUAUUUUACAAUACAACCUGAAUAAACACUAACCCCAUUAGGAUCUUAUCCCGCCUGACCUUAUUUUUUGGGCGUAGCCCGUUUCACCCAAAAAUGACCCUGCCCGUUUCCCCGGCUACCCGUUUAGCCCAAAUUGUGUUUCAUUAUAAUUCCCGUUUCGCCCAGAGUAGUUUAGACCAAUUUAAAAUGAAGUUGAAAAUAGUUCAGUCAAAUAUUAUAAGCGUACGCCAAGAAGAAAUGGUGCUAAAGUUUCUGACAACAAAUAACACGCAUGACAAUAUAUUUUAUAAAAUGUUUUUAUUUCCAUAUAAUAUAUAUGUAUAUAUAUAGCAGUAAAUUUUAUGAAUUAAUUAAUUGAAAUAUUGUUUUGAACAAUUUAAAAAUAGCAAAAAAAAUCAAUUUUAAGUUAGUUAUUCGCAUGACACAAUUGAAUAACAAUACUCUUUCUUUGACGUAACUAAUAGGUGGUGCCUAUUGUUUAGGUAUAGUCUGCAUAUGCUUCCAGUUUACCCAACUUGUGGACAUAAAACAAAUAAUGCAUUUCAGUGUGCUUCCAUUACUAUGACUGAAAUAAAAGAGUUCCAUUCGAAGUUUUACGAAACGAAAGAAAAAAUAGUACAAGACAAUUUUAUUUUGAAAUAUUGUAAAACUGUUCCUGUAAAGCGAAAUGACCAAAAAAUGCUUGACAUACUCAAAAAGUAUUUCAAGCGCAAUUUUUCGUCCUCACUAAGCAAAAAACUUUUUUGCCUGUUUGUAAAAAAGGUUUUAUGGACAUUUUACGCAUAACUAGAAGAAAAAUUGACACUGUCACUAGAAACUUUUUUAAUACCUCUUUACCAUCCGAGGAGAAUCGUGGAGACGAUAGAAAAUUGGAAAAAAACAGGACACAGAGAGAUUCAGCUAUGCAUUUUAUAAACAAAUUUAAGGUAAUUGAAUAUCACUAUUACCGAGGGGCGAGGACACAGCCAACGUUUAUAUCUCGACUUCACUUUGAAUAUCAGAUUGAUGUGGAAAAUGUACAUGAAGGAAAACAUCAACUUUCCAGUAAAAGAGAGUUAUUUUAGAUUCAUUUUUAACACUGAAUACAACAUAGGUUUCGGCACGCCUAGGACUGACGUUUGCUCAACAUGCUUACAGUUGAUCGAAAAAAUUAAAAGAUGCAAUGAUCAAGGCUAGCUUAUUGACGGAGAAAAAGGUACAUAAAAUGAGAGCAGAUGCAUUUUACCAAAUUUUAAGAGAAUCUGCAGAGAGGGUGUCGUAAUUUUUUCGUUUGAUUGUCAAAAAAAUCAGGUUCUACCGAAAGUUCUUGAUCAGCAAGCGUACUAAUCUAAAUUUACAAGUUUAACUUUACUGUUGUGAGAGGCACUUGUAAAAGCAAAAUAAAUCCCAAUACAGUCACCAGUUUCUGUUGGACUGAAAAUGAAUACGACAAAGAUUCAAAUGCGAUUGCUUCCUGUAUUCAUCACGUUUUGACAUCGUCAACUUUUAAUGAUAUUCAUACUAUUAAGCUUAUGUGUGAUGGCUGCGUGGGCCAGAACAAAAACACAACACUAAUUUCAAUGUGUUGCAACUGGCUCGCCAAACAAAAUGUAAUUUCAAAAAUUGAAGUUGUAUUCCCAGUAAGAGGGCACUCUUUUAUUCCUCCUGAUCGCGUCUUUGGUUAUAUCGAAGUGGAGUGCAAAAAGAAGGAAAUAAUUUUAGAACCUCAGGAAUACUUUUUUAAAAAUAUGGGACUGAAAAAGGACGCUUUCCAACGCUUCAACCGCUAUCGAAAACCAAACUUUCGAUGCAGGCGUGACAAAAAAUAAUGAUAGGUGCCAAUUCACGCACAGUUUGCAAUAAUAAAAUAAUUAGGUAAUAUUAAAAAGGUGGCGAUUUGCGCCUAUGGCUAUUUAAUAUAAAACGGUGAUGCGACACAAUAGUAUAAACGUAUUGCCUUUAUGGCUCACAAUUAUAAAAUAAGUAUAAUAAAUCUGACUGCACACCACACGUCGGUAUUCGCGCAACACAAAAUAUAAUAUAAAAGGGUGUUUUGUGCCCACAAUUUUACUUAACAAUUAAUAUAAUAUCAAUAUGCCCUUCUGGCGCUCACAGUUAUAAAAAAAAAAACAAUAAUAAUUUUUACUAUUUGAGUAAAUAAACACUUUAUAAAUUAUAAUGACAUACAUCGAUACUGCCGAUACUAGCUUAUAAACCAUACAAUUUUGAAAAUAUUUUGACUCUUUUUGAGCUGUUUACGGACAUUGAUAAAUGUUGUCAGAAAUCUAACUUUAAAUGCCUAUCAAAAAAAAUUGUGCCUAUGUAAUUUUUAUAUGUUUCAACUGCUAUUUAAACAAUAUAUAAGGCGCCUUGUAUUAAUUAAUAUUAAUAAUUUUGACUCUUUUUGGUUCAACAAAUAAAAUUUCAUUGAUAUUUAUAGAAAAAAAAAACUAAAAAAUUAAAAUUUGACAAUGUCCGUAAAUAGCUCAAAAAAAGUCAAAAUAUUUUCAAAAUUUUAUGGUUUAUAGAAAAUUAAAAUAUAAACAUUCAGUGAAAUUGCCAUGUAUUUACAGUUAUUCGUUUUUGAAUUAUAACAAUAUAACCAAUUCGCUACAUGAAAAAUCGAGUGAAUAUCCUAUCUUGUAAAAAUAUAAACCUCAAACGCUCAUACAAAUUUAUAUUUGAUUUGCUUUAAGUCAUUUUUUUUUUUUUUUUUGAUAUCUCAGAUUAAAAAGAAAAUUUUUUAUGAAUUCUCAACUCAAAAUAAUUUGCUAAUUUUCGUGAUUUUUCCGUAUAUUGUCAAGGUUUGAACUUUAAAUGCUUAUAAAAAAUACUGUGACUUCUACUGUGUUUUUUAAUAUUUUUCAAAUGUUAUUGUAACAAUAUAGUAGGAGCCUUGUAUUACAUUUUCAAGCUUUUUUACAAAACAAAUAAAGUUUUAUUGACCUUCUCAAAAAAGACAAACAAAAUUGGAAAGUGAAAAUGUCUCUAAACAGUUCAAAACAAAUAAAAAUAUUUUGAAAAUAUUAUCAUGUAUAGUAAAUGCAAAUAUAAACAACCAGUGAAAAUUUCAUAUCUUUAUUUGUUUUAGAGUUAUACCAAAAUCCAAAAUCGAUAUUAUCAAAAACCGAUUUUUCGUAAAAAUUCCUGUUUUUCCUCAAUUGUUAUGUUAUUUUUCCCGUCGCCUUUUCGAAAACUAUUGGGAUUUAAAAAUUUGGACGUCCUGAAUGCACCAACUAGAUUCACUUUCCCAUCGAACAAGAUAGGUACUGUUGAAGAAAAUCUAAGCAGUUUUACUGCCACAAACGGUGGUGACGGACAGAAAUAUUUAAAAUUAAAAAAAAAAAAAACACAUCACUGUAAAAUUAAUAUAUUAAUUGCUCCGCUCAUAAUCUAAAAGUGCUUUUUUGAAACUUUGGGACUUAUCCACUAGUAGAAUAUGUCUGAUUGCAUAUACUGGAUCUGGAGCCUAGAACAACUGGAAAACAAGAUCAUCGUACACAAGCAUUGUUUAAUCAUACCUAGGAAAAUGUCAUGCUUCCAGAUGAAGCCACUACAUCUUUGUGCGCAUGGAAUGCACGCAAUGCUUCUCGGCAGCAACUUUUAUCUCUAGACCAUAAUGGACCUAUUCGUUCAAUAGUGCAUUCUCCAAAUUCAGCAGUAUUUUUGACUUGUUCAGACGACUUUUGGUAUAGAAAACUCUUGAUUGGAGCAUAGAUUGAAUAUUUUUUGUUUUUAUUUAAAAACUAUUUAUUUAUUUAAUUUUGAAUAAACAUUUAAUGUACAUUAGUAAAAAUAACAAAUUAUAUAAAAUAUAUAACUAUUGGAUUCAUUGAAAUAUAUAUUUUUAAUUUAAUAAUAUAAUAAUAAUAAUAAUAAUAUUUCCAACAUUUCAAAUUAUACAUAAUAAUAUAUAGAGUAUGGAA